GGGAGGGGGCCGUGGGGCCUGCGGAGAGAUUGUGGGUUGCGAAUUAACGACAUUAACCUAAUCUCCGCGGGCCGGCCUAAUUGCCCCGGUUAAUCGCAUUAAUUCCAUUGUGCCGCGCCGUUAACAGCUCCCCGCGCCCGCGCCCCGCGCCCCCACCCCCUUUUCUCUGGCUGGGCUCCGUUACGGGGUGCGAUUUCCUCUGCCCGCGGAGCUCGGAGGCAUCCCGACCGGGGGUUCCUCGGGAGGACGGCCCCCGCCCCCGUGUGGAAAUCGGUUUUGUUUUUUAGAAACAGGGAGCGGCCGCGUCCUCGCUCACACGGGACUGAAAACCCGCCCUCCGCGGCCCGCGCCCGCGCCGCCUAACUUCGCCAAGGUGGCUUCUUUUUCAAUCUCCACUAUCCCAAAUGGAAUUGGCUAACCCCUCCAAGCUUUUGUUUUUGCAAAAGCCAAAAUUUGUAAAAAGCAAAAACGACGAAAGAAGUGGUGCAUCGUGUUCUGUUUAAAAAAAAAAAUCUUCUUUCUUUUCUUCUUCUUUUUUUUUCCUUUUUUUUGUAGCGACUUUGAGUCCGAAAACCACCAUGGCGGUCCCGGGUCCUUACACGACGAAGACGGAAUCCUUCGCCGCUGCACUCCGAGGAACUGCAAAAGCUGAUUCUCCAAUGUAUAUGGAAGCACAAAUGUGCAAGAAUAGCCAAGACAUUCCUGAAGAAGCAUGCGCGGGGGCGCUUUGCCCAGAAGAGGGUGGAAUUCAUCGUGGAGUUACUUGGCGGUUGCUUUGGCACCGAGAAACUGACCAGUGAAAGAGAGCAGAAAGCCCAGAGGCGGGCGCGAGUCCCGCCGUAAGCCUCACGUGGCAGGCCACCAGGGCCAGGAGGAAGGGACCGCCGAGGACGCCAGCGCGCUGGUUAUCUGCGCGGGGGAGGGACAGGUCCUUGUGUCCUGAGCUAUAAAAACCAGAUGCUGGCCAGUUCCGGGUGUCACUUGGAAAGGUGCCAUUAUAAACUCUGAGGGGGAGCUAUUCCAUGACCUGCAGGUAAGGGAAGUAUUUUAUUUCUGUUUUUCUUUUUUUAAGAUUUUAUUUAUGUAGUUGAGAGGUAGAGUUACAGAGAGAGGGAGAGACAGAAAGGUCCUUCAUCUGCUGGUUCACUUCCCAAAUGACUGCAAUGGCCGGAGCUGGGCCAAUCCAAAGCCAGGAGCCAGGAGCUUCCUCUAGGUCUCCCGUGUGCAAGCAGGGGCCCAAGCACUUGAGCCAUCUUCCAUUGCUGUCCCAGGCCACAGCAGAGAGCUGGAUCCGAAGAGGAGCAGCCACAACUUGAACAGGCACCCAUAUGGGAUGCAGGCACUGCAGCAGGGGCUUAGCCUAGUACCACAGCGCCAGCCCCCAGGAAGUAUUUUCUAAACAAGGAAAUAAGAUACAAAGAGUCACAGCUACACUAAAAACUAUUGUCCACCAAAUUCCCCUUCAACAAACAAGCCACAGAUUGGAAGAAGACAAAGGAUUACAACCCUGGAUGCAUAAAGAAUUCCUGCAAUCCAAUUAGAAAAAUGCAAAUCAUUUUCACAUUAAAAAGGGAUCCUCCGUCCCCGCCCUCCCUCAGUGGUCUCUGAGUUCGGUGCUCCAGCAAGGAAGAGAGAUGGGUUUGACCCAGGAGCCCUCUGACUUGCAGAAGUAGGUGACUGGUGCUUUGACGAAUUCUAGGAGGGUGUGGAAGGCGAUGGGUAGCAGGAACUUGACUGCAGAAGGCAGUCAGGUGGGGCCAAGCAGGACUGGGUGGAUGUUUUGUAAAUAGGAAAAUAAAAAUCCUACUUCUAU